GACAGAGGGGGCAAGCGUUGCUCGGAAUUACUGGGCGUAAAGGGCGCGUAGGCGGGAUGGCAAGUCGGUCGUGAAAUCCCUCGGCUCAACCGAGGAACGUCGAUCGAUACUGCUGUUCUUGAGGAUUGCAGAGGAGACUGGAAUUCCCGGUGUAGCGGUGAAAUGUGUAGAGAUCGGGAGGAACACCGUUGGCGAAGGCGGGUCUCUGGGCAAUUCCUGACGCUGAGGCGCGAAAGCGUGGGGAGCAAACGGG
rnacentral:rRNA from 1 species